rnacentral:rRNA from 1 species
UUAAUAUUCCCGUACUUCUUACAAUUGCGAUGGGGGGACGGAGAAGGCUAGGUGGGCCUGGCGACGGUUGUCCAGGUUCAAGUGCGUAGGCUGAGUGUUUAGGUAAAUCCGGAUACUCUUAAGGCUGAGACACGACGUCGAGCUACUACGGUAGUGAAGUCAUUGAUGCCAUGCUUCCAGGAAAAGCCUCUAAGCUUCAGAUUGUAAGGAAUCGUACCCCAAACCGACACAGGUGGUCGGGUAGAGAAUACCAAGGCGCUUGAGAGAACUCGGGUGAAGGAACUAGGCAAAAUGGUACCGUAACUUCGGGAGAAGGUACGCUCUUGAUGGUGAAGUCCCUUGCGGAUGGAGCUGACGAGAGUCGCAGAUACCAGGUGGCUGCAACUGUUUAUUAAAAACACAGCACUGUGCAAAAUCGUAAGAUGACGUAUACGGUGUGACGCCUGCCCGGUGCCGGAAGGUUAAUUGAUGGGGUUAGCGUAAGCGAAGCUCUUGAUCGAAGCCCCGGUAAACGGCGGCCGUAACUAUAACGGUCCUAAGGUAGCGAAAUUCCUUGUCGGGUAAGUUCCGACCUGCACGAAUGGCGUAAUGAUGGCCACGCUGUCUCCACCCGAGACUCAGUGAAAUUGAAAUCGCUGUGAAGAUGCAGUGUACCCGCGGCUAGACGGAAAGACCCCGUGAACCUUUACUACAGCUUGGCACUGAACAUUGAACCUACAUGUGUAGGAUAGGUGGGAGGCUUUGAAGACGUGACGCCAGUUGCGUUGGAGCCGUCCUUGAAAUACCACCCUUGUAUGUUUGAUGUUCUAACGUUGGCCCCUAAUCGGGGUUGCGGACAGUGCCUGGUGGGUAGUUUGACUGGGGCGGUCUCCUCCCAAAGAGUAACGGAGGAGCACGAAGGUGGGCUAAUCACGGUUGGACAUCGUGAGGUUAGUGCAAUGGCAUAAGCCCGCUUAACUGCGAGAAUGACGGUUCGAGCAGGUGCGAAAGCAGGUCAUAGUGAUCCGGUGGUUCUGAAUGGAAGGGCCAUCGCUCAACGGAUAAAAGGUACUCCGGGGAUAACAGGCUGAUACCGCCCAAGAGUUCAUAUCGACGGCGGUGUUUGGCACCUCGAUGUCGGCUCAUCACAUCCUGGGGCUGAAGUCGGUCCCAAGGGUAUGGCUGUUCGCCAUUUAAAGUGGUACGCGAGCUGGGUUUAGAACGUCGUGAGACAGUUCGGUCCCUAUCUGCCGUGGGCGUUGGAAGAUUGAAGGGGGCUGCUCCUAGUACGAGAGGACCGGAGUGGACGAACCUCUGGUGUUCGGGUUGUGUCGCCAGACGCAUUGCCCGGUAGCUAAGUUCGGAAUCGAUAACCGCUGAAAGCAUCUAAGCGGGAAGCGAGCCCUGAGAUGAGUCUUCCCUGAUACUUUAAGUAUCCUGAAGGGUUGUUCGAGACUAGAACGUUGAUAGGCAGGGUGUGUAAGCGCUGUGAGGCGUUGAGCUAACCUGUACUAAUUGCCCGUGAGGCUUAACCAUACAACACCCAAAGGGUUUUG